rnacentral:rRNA from 1 species
AUCUAGGGCCAUACCACCCUGAAUGGGCCCGAUCUCGUCUGACCUCGGAAGCUAAGCAGGGUCGGGCCUGGUUAGUACUUGGAUGGGAGACAGAGGAUAAAAAUCCCUAUAAAUU